rnacentral:rRNA from 1 species
ACGAACCGAGCGAACGUUAUUCGGAAUCACUGGGCUUAAAGGGCGCGUAGGCGGGCCAUCAAGUCAGGGGUGAAAGCCCCCAGCUCAACUGGGGAAGUGCCUCUGAUACUGGUGGCCUCGAGGGAGGUAGGGGCGUGCGGAACUUCCGGUGGAGCGGUGAAAUGCGUAGAUAUCGGAAGGAACACCGGUGGCGAAAGCGGCGCGCUGGACCUCUUCUGACGCUGAGGCGCGAAAGCCAGGGGAGCGAACGGG